rnacentral:rRNA from 1 species
UACGUAGGGUGCAAGCGUUGUCCGGAAUUAUUGGGCGUAAAGAGCUCGUAGGCGGUCUGCCGCGUCUGCUGUGAAAACCCGGGGCUCAACCCCGGGCUUGCAGUGGAUACGGGCAGACUAGAGUUCGGUAGGGGAGACUGGAAUUCCUGGUGUAGCGGUGAAAUGCGCAGAUAUCAGGAGGAACACCGGUGGCGAAGGCGGGUCUCUGGGCCGAUACUGACGCUGAGGAGCGAAAGCAUGGGGAGCGAACAGG